GUGUGCGUGUAUGCCAGACCAGGAAUUUAUAGCUGAAGACUCCUCGCCGUUUUUCCGUUUACGACGACCCUCGAAACACGACAGCCAGGCGAGAAGAGUGAUUUGACUUCGGAAUUUUUGAUUAGUUAGCGUUGGAUUUCGCCUUGAAAUCCGACCACUGCGGCAAUUCGAGGAUUAAAUUCGUUGCAGGAAAAUCGAGAAAAUCCUCUCAACUCCCAAUAACCAUCAGAAUUCGCCAGCAAACAGAAGGUGAAAGUGCAAAACCAAUUGUGUGUGUUUGUAUAUGUGUCACAGUACACCGUGUAUCGCAAGAUUUAUUAUCAAUAAUUGGAAUAUAAUCGUCCAGAAAGCGGAAAAAUUCCUGGAAAGAGAGAAUAAAGUACCAUCCUGCAGAACGACGACGGGGUGAGUCUCCUGCUCUCACACUCUCCUCGGAAUAAUCCUGAUGGUUCUGGUGAACGGUGAGGCUGCUGCAACUGAAGGCUUUAAGUCCAACUUCAACGUAAAACGUUAUCCAGCAUUGGAAAAGUGCAUCGACACUGAACUGUAAUUGAAGUUCCGCGAAGUGCAACCUCUGGCUCAUUUGCACUUUUUGAAGUAAAUGCAACGACACGGUGGGAAAGUUACACACCAAACUACCAAAUUUGAAGAAACAAAAAAAAAAUACAACCAGAGCAAAUGGAUCAAAAGAGUGCAAAAGUGAAUAUUUCAGGAGAUUUCUGUUUUCACAAGUUCCCGACCGCUGCUACCUACUGAUCUUUUGCUGUCAUCAAGUGGAUUUCGUGACUGUCGACGAUCGUCGAGUCAAUGCUGAUGGUUAGGUUGGCAUCAAAGUGGAGAAUCGAAGCUGCCGCAAGGAAAAGUUCACCGAAGAAUAAUAUUUGUGAAAAUUGAUUGCUUUUGAGCGAAGAAAGUGGCAGACGUAGCAGUGAAAAUAUUGAAUAUAUAUCGAGAAUAAUACAAAAACGGAAAUUGAUCACCAUUAUUGCCCUUCAGGCAUACGGGAAAGGAGCGAUUGGAAAUGCAAGAAAAAUACGAAUAGUUGAUUGAAACGUACCGGACGUUGGCUCUCGGUAGUGAAGGUGAUGGCAGACAGCUGAAUGGGAAAGGAGUUUGGAAAUUCAAGAACCUGAAAAAGUUUAAUAACGACCGGAUAUUGGGUACUGAAUGCUAUCAUUUGCAUCACCAAUUCCGUCUUGGUAGGUAAUAAAUUGUAGCAUCCAAGGACAUUUAACAGCAUUUGUGUCAUUUCACUGAAUGCCAUUUAAUCUUAAAUUAAAACCUGAGAACUCCAUAAUCCCGUUUAUACUUUUCCAAUCAAACGAAGUAUAUCCGUGAGGGUUGACAAUCUCCAUCAACACCUUCAUCCAGGCCAGAGAUUUGAACAAAAUCCGGUGAAAAAUAUCUAAAAAAAAAUUGAUGAACAAAGAAGAAUCACACUAUCAUAGAGCAGGUGGAAAAAGGUGGCCUGUGUAACGAAUGAUAUCGCUCAGUGGGUUGAAUGUUGUGACUGCUGCUGUAUAGAAGAUUUCACCCGACCAUUGUUGGAAGUUGCCCGUAGGCCAGAAAAAAAAUAUAGAAUCCCAGUCCCAGUGAUCGAAAUCAGUGCACGCUCGAUUGAAGCCGAUGGUGGUGAUUUAUUGUGUGUUUAUAUGGAGCCAUAACCAUCAUCCAUCCUAUAGGUUCGUUAUUGUUACGGAUGGCUCCUAGCGCUAUAGUGCAAUAGAUGUCUACUACAUACCGUUGAAUGUUAGUGAGUAUCUGUGCCAGGCUUCAGUGACCUAAAAAAGAAGAAGAAGAAGACGAAGCACGGUGAUUCUCGUCCGCCUGUCAGUAUCUGUGUCUAGCUAUUUGUCUGGAGGCAGAUGAUGUAAUAUUUGUCCAGGACCGGGAGGAAAUCACACGGGACGGAUUUGGCCCAGAACGAUUGCCCAUAACGGACAUCGAUCGUCGUCCAGUUGCUGUCCGAAUGGCAAAAGAUUGCCCCUCGGAGUGAUGUCAUCCAUCCGACGGAAGCUGCUUAUCGAAAUCGAACUAACCGAAUGGCAGUCGUUCGAGCGGAAAUAGGUGUACCCCUGAUGAUAGGCAACCGUGUACUCGAUUGAGACGUUGUUUGGGUUUUCUUCGACAGGGAAUAUGGCGAGACUGGAGAAAACAAAUUACACAAUUGAAGAAAAUAAGUCUGUGUGAAAUGCUAAACAAGAAGUGCGGCGCCAGCACGUUCCAAAACAGUUGUGGUAGUUGUCGAUAAAAUCGGGACAAGCUGGGAUUUUUGGGAGAUCCGUCGGCAAGGGACGAUCAGGUGAAAAGAGACAGGGCGGCAAGCAGGUGAAAGGGGACCGAUGCGCUACCGCUGCUGGUCCGCUUCCUGCCGCCGUUCUAGGUUCAAGGUUAGGUACAAAA